rnacentral:rRNA from 1 species
GAUGAACGCUGGCGGCGUGCCUAAUACAUGCAAGUCGAGCGAACAGACGAGGAGCUUGCUCCUCUGACGUUAGCGGCGGACGGGUGAGUAACACGUGGAUAACCUACCUAUAAGACUGGGAUAACUUCGGGAAACCGGAGCUAAUACCGGAUAAUAUAUUGAACCGCAUGGUUCAAUAUUGAAAGACGGUUUUGCUGUCACUUAUAGAUGGAUCCGCGCCGCAUUAGCUAGUUGGUAAGGUAACGGCUUACCAAGGCAACGAUGCGUAGCCGACCUGAGAGGGUGAUCGGCCACACUGGAACUGAGACACGGUCCAGACUCCUACGGGAGGCAGCAGUAGGGAAUCUUCCGCGAUGGGCGAAAGCCUGACGGAGCAACGCCGCGUGAGUGAUGAAGGUCUUCGGAUCGUAAAACUCUGUUAUUAGGGAAGAACAAAUGUGUAAGUAACUAUGCACGUCUUGACGGUACCUAAUCAGAAAGCCACGGCUAACUACGUG